rnacentral:rRNA from 1 species
UAUCUCUAGAAGACAUCUGAAAGAGAUUAAAGAUUUAUCGGUGAUGGAUGGGGAUGCGUCUGAUUAGCUUGUUGGCGGGGUAACGGCCCACCAAGGCAACGAUCAGUAGGGGUUCUGAGAGGAAGGUCCCCCACAUUGGAACUGAGACACGGUCCAAACUCCUACGGGAGGCAGCAGUGAGGAAUAUUGGUCAAUGGACGAGAGUCUGAACCAGCCAAGUAGCGUGCAGGAUGACGGCCCUAUGGGUUGUAAACUGCUUUUAUAAGGGAAUAAAGUGAGUCUCGUGAGACUUUUUGCAUGUACCUUAUGAAUAAGGACCGGCUAAUUCCGUGCCAGCAGCCGCGGUAAUACGGAAGGUCCGGGUGUUAUCCGGAUUUAUUGGGUUUAAAGGGAGCGUAGGCCGGAGAUUAAGCGUGUUGUGAAAUGUAGACGCUCAACGUCUGCACUGCAGCGCGAACUGGUUUCCUUGAGUACGCACAAAGUGGGCGGAAUUCGUGGUGUAGCGGUGAAAUGCUUAGAUAUCACGAAGAACUCCGAUUGCGAAGGCAGCUCACUGGAGCGCAACUGACGCUGAAGCUCGAAAGUGCGGGUAUCGAACAGGAUUAGAUACCCUGGUAGUCCGCA